rnacentral:rRNA from 1 species
GGAGGAAAGUAGGGGAUCGCAAGACCUUGCGCUUUUGGAGCGGCCGAUGUCUGAUUAGCUAGUUGGUGAGGUAAAGGCUUACCAAGGCUUCGAUCAGUAGCUGGUCUGAGAGGACGACCAGCCACACUGGGACUGAGACACGGCCCAGACUCCUACGGGAGGCAGCAGUGGGGAAUUUUGGACAAUGGGGGAAACCCUGAUCCAGCCAUGCCGCGUGAGUGAAGAAGGCCUUCGGGUUGUAAAGCUCUUUCAGCCGGAACGAAAAGGUUACGGUUAAUACCCGUGACUAAUGACGGUACCGGAAGAAGAAGCACCGGCUAACUACGUGCCAGCAGCCGCGGUAAUACGUAGGGUGCGAGCGUUAAUCGGAAUUACUGGGCGUAAAGCGUGCGCAGGCGGUUUUGUAAGUCAGAUGUGAAAUCCCCGGGCUCAACCUGGGAACUGCGUUUGAAACUACAAAGCUAG